CAAGUCGAACGCUGAUUAGAGGGUAGCAAUAUUCUCUAGUCGGAGUGGCGCAAGGGUGCGUAACACGUGGGUAAUCUGCCGUGAAGCUUGGGAUAACUCGCUGAAAGGCGAGCUAAUACCGGAUGAGAUGACUGUUUGGCAUCAGAUGGUCAUGAAAGCUGGGGACUGUCAAAGGCCUGGCACUUCACGAUGAGCCCGCGGCCUAUCAGCUAGUUGGUGAGGUAACGGCCCACCAAGGCUAAGACGGGUAGCUGGUCUGAGAGGACGACCAGCCACACUGGAACUGAGACACGGUCCAGACACCUACGGGUGGCAGCAGUCGAGAAUUUUUCACAAUGGGCGCAAGCCUGAUGGAGCGACGCCGCGUGGGGGAUGAAGGGUUUCGAUCCGCAAACCCCUGUCAUUUGCGAACAAUGGUCCAUUGAUAAUACCAGUGGGCUUGAUAGUAGCGGAAGAGGAAGGGACGGCUAACUCUGUGCCAGCAGCCGCGGUAAUACAGAGGUCCCAAGCGUUGUUCGGAUUCACUGGGCGUAAAGGGUGCGUAGGUGGCCAGGUAAGUUCGGUGUGAAAGCUCGGAGCUCAACUCCGAAAUGUCAUUGAAUACUAUCUGGCUGGAGGGUCGGAGGGGAGACCGGAAUUCUCGGUGUAGCAGUGAAAUGCGUAGAUAUCGAGAGGAACACCAGUGGCGAAGGCGAGUCUCUGGACGACUCCUGACACUGAGGCACGAAAGCUAGGGGAGCAAACAGGAUUAGAUACCCUGGUAGUCCUAGCUGUAAACGGUGCACGUUUGCUGUGAGAGGAAUCGACCCCUUUCGUGGCGAAGCUAACGCGCUAAACGUGCCGCCUGGGGAGUACGGUCGCAAG
rnacentral:rRNA from 1 species